AUGGGUUUCCUCUUUGGACGUAACAUCUCCGAGAAUUUUCUCUAUGCAACUGAUAUUCUUCACUGUUGUGCGAAGCGUAAGGCACCCACUCUAGUAGUUAAACUGGAUUUCAAAAAAGCUUUCAACUCCAUCUGUUGGGCUUCCCUUCUUGAUAAGCUCCGAAUUAGGGGCUUCCCCCGGCUGUGGUGUGAUUGGAUCAAUGCCCUUCUCACCAUUGGCUCCACUGCGGUCAUGCUAAACAACAAUCCCGGUAGAUUAAUUAAAUGUAGGAACGAUCUCCGCCAAGGGGACCCUAUGUCUCCCUAUCUUUUCAUUAUUAUCACUGAUAUCUUGAAACAAUUGAUCAUUAAAGCCAACAAUGAGGGCUUACUGUUUCACCCCCUUAACCCUGACCUACAUUGUCCUGUCCUCCAAUAUGCUGAUGAUACUCUCAUCAUCGUUAGGGCUACCCGAGAUGCUGCUAGACAUCUCAAAGCCAUCCUUGACAACUUUGCGGCUGCCACGGGACUCCAGAUCAAUUUCACCAAGACCACUUUCAUCCCCCUGAAUGUUGACACUGCUCAGACCGCCAAAAUGGUUGCGGUUCUGGCCACAGACAUCUUCUCGUUUCCUCAAACCUACCUAGGGCUUCCUCUCUCCCCUCACAAACUCCCCCUUCCACUUUCCAACCUGUUAUUGAUCGGUGUGAUGCCUACCUUGCUGGCUGGUGUGCACUCCUUCUAUCCAGUGAUGGAAAGCUUUUCCUUCUCUCUACGGUUUUGGAUAGUCUCCCCACGUACUUUAUGUUGUGCUUCGCCCUCCCGGAAAGUGCGUUAUAUCGACUAG
rnacentral:rRNA from 1 species